UUCUAGAGCUAAUACAUGCGAAAAAACCCGACUUCUCGGAAGGGUUGUAUUUAUUAGAUAAAGAACCAAUAUUUUUGGUGACUCAUAAUAACUUUACGGAUCACACUAUGUGACAUAUCAUUCAAGUUUCUGACCUAUCAGCUUUAGACGGUAGGGUAUUGGCCUACCGUGGCUAUGACGGGUAACGGGGAAUUAGGGUUCGAUUCCGGAGAGGGAGCCUGAGAAACGGCUACCACAUCUAAGGAAGGCAGCAGGCGCGCAAAUUACCCAAUCCUAAUACAGGGAGGUAGUGACAAGAAAUAACAAUACAGAGCCUUACGGUUUUGUAAUUGGAAUGAGUUAAGUAUAAACCCCUUAACAAGUAUCAAUUGGAGGGCAAGUCUGGUGCCAGCAGCCGCGGUAAUUCCAGCUCCAAUAGCGUAUAUUAAAGUUGUUGCAGUUAAAAAGCUCGUAGUUAAUUUUCUGUUAAUUUUUAUAUACAAUGCUACGGUAUUUAUAUAAUAUUAACAUAAUUCAUAUUACUUUUUAAGUAUAU
rnacentral:rRNA from 1 species